ACAACUUUCAACAACGGAU
rnacentral:rRNA from 1 species